rnacentral:lncRNA from 1 species
AGCCACUAUGUUGUGAGGGAGACCAGGCACACCAGAGGCCAUGUGUGGGUGUUCUGGUCAAUAGCCCCAGCGAGGCCUCCAGCUGAGUGACAGCCAGCACCAACUUCAGAACGGAAGAUGAGCAACAGCCAAGAGUACCAUGUACUGAGUGCUCCUGAGUGUUAGGUGGUAUGCUGAGUUAUGGAUUUUACUCGGGGCAGUAAUGGCCUCCCCCUUGCCUUUCCUGCUUGGAACUUGGAGCUCUAGCAAGCAUCUUGGACCAUGAAUUGUGGCCCUAAAGGAUAAACGAGCCUGGCUGUCUGCCACAAUGGAGCUACCAGACAAGUCCUUAAAAGACAACUUGUUUCAU